UUUGUGUGUGUACACAUGCAGGCCUGUGCUUUCACUUACAUUCUCUUGCUUGCUUAUUCAGCCUGUUUAAAUUAAAAGCAAGGCCAGAAGCAAGACUAUUAUUGUUUAGUCUUUAUCCUAUUUACUUCACAUUCCCCUAAUAUUCUGCCUCUUUCUUUUCUUUUGGGAUCCCCCUGCCCAGGCAUCCUGGGAAGAGCACAGGACA